GAUGAACGCUGGCGGCGUGCCUAAUACAUGCAAGUAGAACGCUGAAGGAAGGAGCUUGCUCUUUCCGGAUGAGUUGCGAACGGGUGAGUAACGCGUAGGUAACCUGCCUGGUAGCGGGGGAUAACUAUUGGAAACGAUAGCUAAUACCGCAUAACAGUAGAUGUUGCAUGAUAUCUACUUAAAAGGUGCAAUUGCACCACUACCAGAUGGACCUGCGUUGUAUUAGCUAGUUGGUGAGGUAACGGCUCACCAAGGCGACGAUACAUAGCCGACCUGAGAGGGUGAUCGGCCACACUGGGACUGAGACACGGCCCAGACUCCUACGGGAGGCAGCAGUAGGGAAUCUUCGGCAAUGGACGGAAGUCUGACCGAGCAACGCCGCGUGAGUGAAGAAGGUUUUCGGAUCGUAAAGCUCUGUUGUAAGAGAAGAACGAGUGUGAGAGUGGAAAGUUCACACUGUGACGGUAUCUUACCAGAAAGGGAUGGCUAACUACGUG
rnacentral:rRNA from 1 species